CGGCGAGUGCAAGCAUCACUGAAGACUUUGACACCGGUAGAAUCGGACGUCCACUGUCCUCGGCAGAUUUAACCAGGUGUUAUCUUAUGCAAACUUUAUCACCAUCAGAUGAAGAUGACCAGCCUGUCGCCGAGAGUGAGACCCCUUCGCUGGAGGAACAGACUUUUUUCCGUCUCCAAAAGACCGGAGAGUCACGAAGCGAGACAAUAACGCCCAGAAGUUACUGAAAUGAAUCGAGCUUGCAGAAGAAGAAACAGAAUGAACGCUAGCAGCGUUAGCCUUCACCGCAGAGGGAAGGAAGGGAAGAUGAAAUGGAGAAAAGACAAAGGUGAUGAAAAAGAGGUCCAGACAUGAAGGAGACACAAAUUCAAACGCACACAUGCAGCGGCACAGUCUGUCUGCGGUCUCCCCCCACCCUGCCUCACACACACACAUGCCUGUUAUGGUAAGAAUCAGAGACCACCGAGUUAGGGGAAUAGUAAUGGUGUGAAUGUGAGGAAACAAACUCAUUAUCCACCGCUAUGUUCUCCUCUUAGUAGUUUAAAGACAAAUUGGAUACUGACUUCUAUUCCAAAAUGCUCUGAAUUGACUAAUACAAAAAUAAUUUGCUGAAUUCAUUUAACUUGUAAAAAAUACUAUAUUGGUGCUAGUAAAUAGACUUUUUAAAAAGGGGGUGACUUAUUUUGGAGCAAAUCUUUAUUUAUUCAAUGCUAUUUUAAUUGUGUGUCUACGGCCAUGCAUGCCAUGUUUAGUGUGUGUCUGUGUGUGUGUGUGUGUGAGCAAGCACAAAGCCUGCUUCAUAUUUUCUCUAUUUCAGUCAAAACCAAUCCUGAGUCAAGUCAAGUUUAACGGCCGCACCACACAUCCCACAAACCCCCAUAUCCAGCCCCCCUUACUCACCCAGUGCCCCUCCCAGGCUUCCCAGCAUCCUGCUUCGCCCUCCAUCCAAAAGAAAACAUGCGUGCUGAAAUUACAGUGCGUGAUGCGGCAUUGUGGGAAACCCUUCCCUCCCUCUCUCACUCCCUCUGUUUGCCCAUCUUGUCCCUUCUUAUCUUUUCCUCAUUUCGCUACUGUUUUAGAAUGGUUUGGGUAGGGUCUCUUUAUUCAUUCAUUAAACUGUAAAACAGCUGUCCAUGCUAAUGUACAGUUACUCCAGUUCAGACAAAGGUUAAAAAGGUGGUCUUGUGCCCUAAAUGUCCUUUAAUUAUACAAAUAAGUGUUUAUUAAUAUAUUACUAAUGGAUAUAAUAACAGUACUUAAUUAGUUCAACAUGUAUUUCAACCACUCAGCCAACAGUAUAGAUUUAGAUACAAAAUGAAAAAAUAAAUUCUAGAGAAGCAAAUAAAAGAAUAAACCAGAUGUUUCCAGCUUUAGGUUAAAUGGCAGCACCGCCCUCACAGCAACCGUGUUACUAACCGGCUUUAAUGACACACUCCAUCAGUUCGGCUUAUCCGGCGCAGGGCUAGUUUGGUUAACAGUCGGCCGAGGUGCGGCAUGAGAGAGUGUGUGUGUGCGUGUGCCGGCUAUUAAAGCACUUGAGAAUAAGAGAGGAAAGGACUUGCGCUGCUAAUGGAUGUGUCUAUUGAUGUUCCCAUUUAGCAGCCCACUGUAAACGAUAGGGCAAUGAUUGUGUUGAAGACGGAGGGGGGAGGAGUGGAGAGCGGUUUGGCUGGGCGAUGAUAAUGACAAGGAGGGUUAUUAUUUGGCGCCCUGCAGAGUCUCUGCUUUGUGUGAGUGUGUGUGUGUGGUUGAGCGAGAGAGAGAGCGGCACUCUUCAUCCAUCUCUCUCGCUCAUGUCGCUCUCCCAGCCUAUUGGCCAUUAUUCACUUCUCGAUUGUUCUCCUCAGU